rnacentral:rRNA from 1 species
CCUACGGGAGGCAGCAGUGAGGAAUAUUGGUCAAUGGACGAGAGUCUGAACCAGCCAAGUAGCGUGAAGGAUGACUGCCCUAUGGGUUGUAAACUUCUUUUAUAAAGGAAUAAAACGAGGCACGUGUGCCUUUUUGCAUGUACUUUAUGAAUAAGGAUCGGCUAACUCCGUGCCAGCAGCCGCGGUAAUACGGAGGAUCCGAGCGUUAUCCGGAUUUAUUGGGUUUAAAGGGAGCGUAGAUGGGUUGUUAAGUCAGUUGUGAAAGUUUGCGGCUCAACCGUAAAAUUGCAAUUGAUACUGGCAGUCUUGAGUACAGUUGAGGUAGGCGGAAUUCGUGGUGUAGCCGUGAAAUGCUUAGAUAUCACGAAGAACCCCGAUUGCGAAGGCAGCUUACUAAACUGUGACUGACAUUGAUGCUCGAAAGUGUGGGUAUCAAACAGGAUUAGAUACCCUAGUAGUC